GGUAAAUAUCCAGGAGUGGAAUUUCUGGAUCAUAUGGUCCAGGGGGAAGGAAAAUACCUUAAAUGUUGCAUUUAAGGCUUGGUGGAGCCGUGCAGACCGUGCGGGGUCUUGUGGUGGGUCCUGAACGCAUGUAUUCUGUGGGAAUCUUACACGAAUUAAGGCACAUUUGAUCCUAAGCAGACUGCGCUGGGUAAUCUCAGACAUAAUCUCCUUUCCUCGCCCUGGACAGGAGUCGCUCAUGGAAAUAAAACUGUUGGGCGGAUAGUAGGAAAUGAAAGGAAAUGACCACACCACAUACUUGCAGGAUACGAUCCCCUUCUCGGAUUCGACCGUCUCUGGCGGCAAUGCUGUUGGGAUCUACCUGCGAUGGAGAAGACACCCAUCUUCAACGGGAUGUGUAAUCCUCCCCCAGGAGCUUACAAAUAUGGCUUUAAAUAUAUCGUCAAAGACUUGGUUCAAAGUUCUCUAUUGACUUACAGAGCACAUGUUCAUUUUUCUCUGUCAAAAAUCACUGAUUCUGAAAAUGUAAAUGGACUUUGUUGGAAUUAAUAAUAAUGAAAUUGAAAACUAGAACAGAACUUGGAGACCAUUUUCUCUCACUCCCUCCUUCCCUUCUUUCCUUGCAUCCUUUCUUCUUCUAUUUUUUUUUUUAACCUCUAUUCACCCCAUUUCUGUACUCCAACGUCAGACAUUGUCUCCAGCCCACAUGAUCUUUAGCUGAUGUUAAUACGAGGAUUCUCUGGACCUAGAAAAUUUACUUUCUACAAGGAUGAUUUUUAAAUCCUUCUUUAGCUGACUUAGAAAAGCUGAUCAUACUCUAAGUCCAUACUUGGUACAGGAAUUUCUGUCUCAUAAGCACAUUAAUUUAUAAAGAGAUUUAUAAUCAUGUUGCUCAAAAUGUGAAAAAAAAUCCAAACCCUGUAGAUUAUUACUAGGCAGUAUUUUACAUAUAGGGUGCAGUGUAGUAACUAUAAAUCAUUUUAGAAUAAAUAGAUAUUUAAGGCACUAGCAAGAGUUAUCAACAAUUUAAUGGGCCAAAGUUGAGUGAUGACUUACAGUUCACUGGGGGUGAUUCCAACAGUCAUAUUUCACAUGAUGGCUUCAAACCAUUUAUUUGAGCUUUAUUCCAUCAAAGCUUUUUUCAAGCAAAGUAUUUCAGGUCUAGCAUGAGGCUACUCUGUUCUACCCAAUGUUACACAUUACUUUCUUGUAGGUGGUGCCACCUACUAAAUGAGUUUGAAGUGAUUGGUCAAGAACAAAAGACAGUAUAAUUGCAUGUAAGAGGGAUGAGGAAACCUGCCUUCCAAGGACAUAUGUUCAUUUCCUGUGGUUUCUUCACUAUCCUUGAAAAGGAAAGUUCCAAAGCUGGCAGAUUUAAAUAGCAG